CCCAAAAUCUAGCCCUACAACCCCCAUCUUCCCCCCCCCCCCAAUCCACACGAAAUAAAAUAUUUUAAAACCCUAGUAAAGAAGAUUGAAAAACUAAAAUGGAGCAAAAAUUACGUACCGCAAGGGAAAGAUGAAAUAAUAAUGAAAUAACCUAAAGCACAAAAUAAUAGAGACUACCUCUCGUACCUUUUGCAUCAUGGUUUAACAAGUCUAACCAAGCAAAAAGACUUUAAGUUUGGCCCCCCGAAACUAAGUGAGCUACUUUGAGGCAGCCCAACGAGCAAACCCAUCUCUGUUGCAAAAGAGUGGGAAGACCUCAAAGUAGAGGUGAUAUACCUAACGAACUUAGUGAUAGCUGGUUGCUCAACAAAAGGAUCUUAGUCCAACCUGAAACCAUAUCGGAUAAAAUAAAAUCGAAGCCUUGGAUUUUAGAGACAUUCAAAUAAGGUACAGCCUAUUUGAAACAGGAUACAACCUACACCGAUGGGUAAACUAAUUGUUACCGUAUCAAAUAAGUUGGCCUAAAAGCAGCCACCUUUUAAAAUGCGUCAAAGCCUACUUGUAUCACACAAAAUAUUCACUAAACAUUACCGAACCCUCCACCAACACUGAGCACUUCUAUCCCCCGAUAGAAAAUUUUAUGUUAAAACUAGUAACAAGGAGAAAACCCCCUCUGACAUGUAAGUGUAAACCAGAAUGGACAAACCACUGGUAAUUAACAACCACUAUUAGUAGUAACCUAACAAGAAAACCCUACUUAACCCCCUGUUAACCUAACACAAGAACAUUACAAGAAAGAUUAAAAGAAAAAGAAGGAACUCGGCAAAUUACAAUCCCGCCUGUUUACCAAAAACAUCGCCUCCUGCAACUAUAUGAGGUCCAGCCUGCCCAGUGACUUAGUUCAACGGCCGCGGUAUACUAACCGUGCGAAGGUAGCACAAUCACUUGUUCCUUAAAUAGGGACUAGUAUGAAAGGCAUCACGAGGAUUAAACUGUCUCCUUUUUCCAAUCAGUGAAACUAAUCCCCCCGUGAAAAAGCGAGGAUACUACCAUAAGACGAGAAGACCCUAUGGAGCUUCAAACACUAUAACAAAUGCUACAUCCCCACAACUUUCAGAAAACUCACGCCAUAGCAUAAUGAUUAUAAGUUUUUGGUUGGGGUGACCGUGGAGAAAAAAACAUCCUCCACAUUGACAUAAAGCCAAACUUUAAACUAAAACCCACAACUUUACGAAUCAACAAACUGACAUAAUUGACCCAAACAUUUGAUCAACGAACCAAGUUACCCUAGGGAUAACAGCGCAAUCUACUUCAAGAGUACAUAUCGACAAGUGGGCUUACGACCUCGAUGUUGGAUCAGGAUAACCUAGUGGUGCAGCCGCUACUGAGGGUUCGUUUGUUCAACGAUUAAAAUCCUACGUGAUCUGAGUUCAGACCGGAGCAAUCCAGGUCGGUUUCUAUCUAUAAAGAGCAUUUUCCAGUACGAAAGGACCGAAAAAGCACGGCCAAUGAACAAUUCAAGCCGUCAAGAAAAUUAUGCUAAACACUUAAUAAACUACAUAUCUCCCUCUAUCCUCUAAAUAAGAGUAGCUAACU
rnacentral:rRNA from 1 species